GAACUCGGAAGAAUUACGAGGGUAGC
rnacentral:piRNA from 1 species